CACGCCCCGUUGUAAUAGCAACCAGCAAACAGGCAAACCGGUCAGAACAGACUCCUUCAGUACUCCGGAAAUUAAGCAAGGGCUUGCAGCUGUCUUUAGAAGGUUGUUUUUUGUUUUCUGUUUUUCAGUCAAGAAAAUUAGCUGAAUCUUGCCCAGCCCAGCGGAUGCUCCAAAACAGAAGGCAUUCACGUCAUCGGUAAUCGGGUCAAGGAGCAGACAUUUAAGGACACGUGAAACCUCCUCUUCUGUUACCUCCCAGUCUCUGCCAUCCUCAAACUGACGACGCACACGUGGGUCGCUUCCGCGCCUCAGCUGCCGUGGCCAGCGCUGCCGUAAAGGAGGUGGCACAAGCGUCUCUUCAGGACCCUGCUUUCAAAUCUUUCGGGUAGAAGUAGAAUUGCUGAACCACG